AGGUGACGUGAGGGGAGAACUCGACGUUCAAUAUUUUGAGAAUGUCUAUAAAUGAGAGCCCAACACAGAUAUGGGCCCAAAGCCAUUAGGUUUGCCUUCUGAAGACAAAUAAUUAAACAAAGAAAGACAAACAAUAUACAUGGAAUUUUGAAAAUAACGACCUCGUGCACAAAAAAUAGAAUAGGUAGCCAUGAUUAGAGACUAAUGACGUUCGUACAAUAAAGUAAAAGAACAAAAGCGUGUGCAAUUUCUUCUAACCCUUUUUCACCCAAUCUUCCUCCCAAAUCUAUGGAUGCUAACUUUAUAUGACGUCGUUAGGUCUCUUUUGGUGAGACUCGUGUAUACUUUUGUAUAUACUUCUUUUUGCGUUUUUGUGAUUGUACUUAAUACUUAAUGUUUCUAUAUGAUUGUUAUAGUCUCUUAUUAAAUUCUUAAUUAUCACUCUGUUUCUUUCUAGUUUCAUAUCAUUAUAGCAAUAUAUCAUCAUAUGUGAUAUCGUGAUAUGUACAUAAUAAAAAUGUUUCAAUAGUUUCUCUUAUAUCUGUAAAUAAUGAAAAUGUUCACAGUCAACGUUUUCAAAAGUAAAAAAAUAAAAACAGAAACAUAUAUUCUAAAAAAUGAAAAAUCGAGACACACAAUUGUUGACAAAAUACUGAUCAUUUAAUUUCCAAGACCAAAUUUAUCAAAUCUAGACAGAUGUUUGUUCCAAAUUUAUCAAAGCUCGAAUACAUAAAAUCUUUAUCGUAUAAAGAAUACUUGUUUUAAUCAUAUGACCGAGAGAUAUUCAGUUCAGAACUCAGACUAUCUGAAGCGUUAAUAAUUUUUAAAUCACAUGAUUCGAUAAGAACCAAAUAUAUAAAUAUAUCUAAGCAAGAAAAUACUAUAAGCUUUGGUUUUAAUAUAGUUCCUAGGGUGGAUAUAAAAUAUCAGGAUAGAUACUAAAAGUAGGAGGACAAUAUUAUAUUUUUCCACAAGCCACGUGAACAAGAAGAGACACAUAGGGACUCUGUAUAAAAACGUCACGUAUGCGAUAAUGCUUAUGUAAGCUUCCUUUAUAUGUCUUCUUCCUCCCAUCUUUUGUCUACUCCUCAUGAAAAUUCGGAACAAAAAGAGAGGACCAUUUCCAUUUUUUAAUGGACGAAAAGAACUUCGACUUUUCACCUAGAGAUAGGUAUAUAUUAAAGCAGAGAGAAUUGCGGGAACAUUUUACAGAAAUUUGGUGUUGACAUUUUGUUAUUGUGGGUCUCUCUAUAUGCCUAGUUUUAAUAAUAAAACGAUUCUAGAAUAAUAUCAUGAGAAAAGAGUAAUUGAGGUAGACGG